GGAUUCGAGUAGUAGCAUGUAUGGUGGGACCCGAAAGAUGGUGAACUAUGCCUGAAUAGGACGAAGCCAGGGGAAACUCUGGUGGAGGUUCGAUUGGAUUCUAACGUGCAAAUUGAUCUUUAAAUUUGGGUAUAGGGGCGAAAGACUAAUCGAACCAUCUAGUAGCUGGUUCCUUCCGAAAUUUCCCUCAGGAUAGCUGCAACUUGUGAAAUAGUUUUAUGAGGUAAAGCGAAUGAUUAGAGGCUUCGGGAAUGUAAUAUUCUUGACCUAUUCUCAAACUUUAAAUGGGUAAGAAUCGCUUGAUGUUUGGUUAAUCAAGUGAAUGGAAUAUGAGUUGCAAGUGGGCCAUUCCGGGUAAGCUGGACUGGCGAUGCGGGAUCAACCGAACGCUAUGGUACGGCGCCUGAUUAUUCGCUCAGUAGGACGUAAAAGGUGUUAGUUCAUCUAGACAGCAGGACGGUGGCCAUGGAAGUCGGAAUCCGCUAAGGAGUGUGUAACAACUCACCUGCCGAAUGAAGUAGCCCUGAAAAUGGAUGGCGCUAAAGCGAAUAGCCUAACCAUAGCCAUUCGACUUAGUAGUGAAGUCGAAUGAGUAGGAAGGCGUGAUGGAUGUAGCGAAGGUUAGCGUGUGAACGCGAUUGGAACAUCCAUUAGUGCAGAUCUUGGUGGAAGUAGCAAAUAUUCAAAUGAGAUCUUUGAAGACUGAAGUGGAGAAAGGUUCCAUAGGAAUCGUGAUGAUCUAUGGGUUAGUCGAUCCUAAGAGAUAGGUGAAAUCCGUUGAAAGGGUAUUAUCUCAAUACCACUUAUCGAAAGGGAAUCAGGUUAAUAUUCCUGAACCGUGUUAUUCAAAGUCGGUAACGAGUGUCAGAUUGAAGACAUUGAUGGUACUCCUGGGAAGAGUUGUCUUUUCUUGUUAACAAGUGGUUGUGCUUGGAAUAAACUCAGUUUGCGAGAAGCAUGACUGUUUGGUAAAGGUUCGCUUGGAGCGAACUCCGGUGCAGUAUCAUGAGUCCUUGAAAAUUGAAUCUGGCUAUGGAGUGACACGUUCGUACUAAUAACCGCAUCAGGUCUCCAAGGUGAAUAGCCUCUAGUUAAUAGAAUAAUGUAGAUAAGGGAAGUCGGCAAAUUAGAUCCGUAACUUCGGGAAAAGGAUUGGCUCUGAGGGCUAAGUAGUAUGGCAGUGAUGAGUUAACGGCUUGUCGUGUGGUUGUUCGUUGUGGCUUCGGCUGUGAUGAAUGGCUAUGUGAUGAAAAGAGCGCUCGUCGUUGUUGGCUACAAUGAAUAGCUGACUCAGAACUGGUACGGACAAGGGGAAUCCGACUGUUUAAUUAAAACAAAGCAUUGUGAUGGACUGAAAGAGUUGUUGACACAAUGUGAAUUCUGCCCAGUGCUCUGAAUGUCAAAGUGAAGGAAUUCAACCAAGCGCGGGUAAACGGCGGGAGUAACUAUGACUCUCUUAAGGUAGCCAAAUGCCUCGUCAUCUAAUUAGUGACGCGCAUGAAUGGAUUAAUGAGACA
rnacentral:rRNA from 1 species